rnacentral:tmRNA from 1 species
GGGGAUGUAAAGGUUUCGACGUGCGCAGUUGUAUCAUGAACAGCGAGCCGGGGUUUCAUCUGCCCGUAAAACGGUGAACCUUAAAUUAAACGCAAAAGAAAAUAAUUUUGCUUUAGCCGCCUAAGGGCAGCUAACGUCUCUUACCGUUAUUCCUGCGGGCAGUAGGAGACGUCACUAAGCAGGAUACCGAGCGGUUGUGCCCGACAACCGCUUUGGGAACUCGACGGGCUGGAUCGGUCCGGUUUGUCCUUGUACGAAAACCGAUUGAGACGCCGAACAAGGUCUGCGCUCGGAGAGGUUCAUGGGGCAGUGCGUACGGACAGGAGUUCGACUCUCCUCAUCUCCACCA